rnacentral:lncRNA from 1 species
CAUCUGUAAGAUGGGGAAGUGUAAUCAGUUCUGAACCCACAUAUACCUCACUGGGCUUGAACAGGCCUGAGCAGGCAUGUGGGGCUUUACUAGCUAGCCAUCCUUUCUGCCGCUCUCCCUCAUUCUCCUUCAAGCCCCCCAAAGUCCUUGGUGGAGGAGGAAGUGGAGACAGAACGUUUGGUGUUGGGUGAGGUACGUGAGGAGGCUGAUUUCAGAACCUCCAGGAAACAAAGCUUUAGUGUUCCGAGGGCAGUGCCCGCCUGUGCCUCCUCCUCACAGGGGGUAGUAGGAGUGGGGUGGGGCCGAGGCAUUUCCCAGCACAGCUCAAUCACAUCUCCUGCGCCUGCCCUUGUGACCUGCUCACUGGAAAGGAAGAAAUGACCGAGGGAGAAGGGAGGGCAUUUGAGUAGGGAAGCUGCAGCUGUAGCUGGGGAGCCCUGUGUGGUGCUUGUCAGGAGUGGCCAGGGGAGCCGCUGGUCUUAGGCAUAUACUGUCCACCAUUUGCUCAUGAUAAUUUUUCAGCCACUUCUCUUCAGGCCAAAGGGAGGAGAAAGCUGCCUUGGUCUUGUCAGGUAUUUUUCCCUCUCCACCCUGGUCUUCUCCUGUAACGUGUGGCCGCCUUUUCCAGCACGGCCUCCUGCCUUCCUGGUGCACUUUUUGGAGAACGUGGUGGAAUCAGAGGUUUCUGGCUGACUCGGUGG